GUCCUUCUCGUCAUGUUGUCGUCAUUGUUGUCAUUUUGUGUCUCUUUGUUGACAUUUUGGGUCGUUAUUGUCACUUUCUGUGUCUUUCUAGUCAUUUUGUGUCUGUUUGUUAUAGUUUUGGAUCUUUUUGAAGUCAUUUUCUGUGUCUUUGUUGUCAUUUUGUGCAUUUGUUGUCAUUCUGUACCUUUUUGUGGUCAUUUUGUAUCUCUGUGAUGUCACCAACUGCUUACUUCUCGACUACCACAGACAUCUCUAACUUCUCGAUUUUAAUAUUCAAUUGUGGCGUUGACGUGGCUAAAAGAGCAGCUACCUGUCUGAUAUCUGAGGAUUCAUCAGCAGAGACACCAGACUGAAGCAGCUCUGAGCACGAAUCACCAGAUAGCAAAGAUGCAGUGGAGUCUGUUUGUGCUCAUUCUGAUGGGUCAGUGUGCCUUCAUCACAUGUCGCCUGUAUAAGUUUCACUUUAUUGACGAGACUAAGACCUGGACAGAAGCCCAGAGCUACUGCAGAGAACACCACACUGACCUGGCCACAGUGACUAACAAGACAGACAUGAAGAGACUCUGUAACUAUACAAAGAAUGUAAAGUCUGGAGUCUGGAUUGGGCUUUACAAACAAACAGGUACCAACAGGACGUGGCACUGGU